CAGUGACGUAAUUGACUUACGGUGGCUUUACUUUAUAUUAAAUUUCAAACAAAGAGAUGAGCAACAAUAUAUUUCUCUGUUAUUUAUUAUAAAUAGAAACGUAAAAUAGAAGCGUAAAAAUGUAAUUGUAAACUUUACCUUAGUCAGAGAGCGGAGCAGAAAUUAUUAACCCCGCACUCAAAAAUAUCGUAUACUAUUGUCAUAUUUUACCCGUCGAGUACUAAUUUAGUUUCGUAGAGAUGUUUCGAGUUUGGGAGAUUAACUAGUACUUUCUGGUUCCAUAGAUUUACAUCCAAUAUAGUACAAGACUUAAGGAUGUUACUUAUUAUCUGGAUGAAGGAAAGGAUAUGGACUUGAUGUAUGUGGACCCUUGACACAAUGAAGAAACAACAUGUUUAUUUUAAAGUUUAUAUUAACAAGUUUCUUCCAAAAUUAGCUAUCCAAAGUUCCAUUCCCUAAAUCAUUAAAUGAGCCUGAUGUACACAAUGUGCUCUGUCCUUUAAGGUGGUGAUCAAAAUCUUUUCAUUACCAUUUUUAAAAACUGGGCCAUCAUGGAGAUCUUUCUUCUUUUUCCUUUAUGAGUCCAAAUGCCAGUUAACUGCUGAUAAACUGGUCUGAUUCUCCACGGUGGACAGAGGUGCAGGUAGUGCAUUGUGUAGCUU